rnacentral:rRNA from 1 species
AUUAUGAUAUUCUAAUAAUUCCGCCUACGAGAGUCAGGGGUAGGUCGUUUAAACUCGGGUAUCGGCUCAGCGUGGUCCCUUAAGAAGGGCAGGUACCGGUACUCCCAGCUGAGCCGUUAGGAGCGGCAGCAGCAGCGGAAGGAGGAGGGGGAGGCGGACGAGAGGGAGACGCGGGCGGACUUGAGGAGGCCAUCGCGUCCGCUGGAGGCGGCUAGGACGAGGCGGGAGCGGUAGCGCCGGCGCGAGGAUCGGUGGAAGAAGCGGGAUGGGGCGGUGCUGCCGCCAGCGUGCCCCGUCACGCGGCGGAGGCAACCAAGGGGAACCCUCCUCCCGUGGCCAGCUCUCCAAGCCAACCUCUAGCUCGUCGACUUCGACGUCGAGAUGGCUAACCUUAGUAACACCCUUUUGUUUAGUUUUCGUGGUCUACUGUUUCCACUACGAAGUCUCCUUCUACGGCUCAAACACUUUCGCUACCCUGACCUGUAAGUCCGAGACUAGUUCCUUGUCCUUUUGUAAUUCCUUAGUAAUACCUCAAGACCGCCAUGAUAGUUUAGACAGCUUUUACUCCAUGCUUAAGACCGCCGUCUUAGGUCUUUCUACUUGAGACUAUAAAUGUUACACACCAGUAACCGGUUGCUAUGCCUCUUUUGCCAACUUCGAGAUGUAAGUCUACAGGUUUUCCGAGUUUAAUAUUACCUACUUAGUUCCUUCUACUUGAGAUUACGAGUGGUCUAUACCAGUAACCGUUUCCUAUGUCGUUUUUUCCAGCUUAGAGACAUAUGUCUACAACGUUUCCAAGUUUCACAUUAACUAUAUAGUUUUUUCUACCUUAGAUUAUAUGUGUUUCGUACCAGAAUACGUUUCGUCUGUCUCUUCUCCCAACUUCUAUAUACAAGUCUACAGUUUUUCCCGAAGUUCUUCUUCCGGACCUACUCGACUAUCGCGGCAGCUGAACUGUCCGAUCGUAACCGGACCCGGACCUCAUUACAUGAGGGAGGCAGGGUUUUAAGAACAGAAUCUAAACAAAUUUAUGCCUACAUAGUUUAGUGCAAAAUCAUAAUCUAUAUAGGCAUAGAUCUACUUAGAUUCUGUUCUUAAAACCCUGCCUCCCUCAUCAUCUCUUCGGUGGGCCGGAACGUAGACGCUUGGACAUUACGGGGAACUAUAACAUACUGUGCAAAUGCCAACACAGCACGCGCAACACCUGUGCUAGUACGACACAAAGCCUAGACUGAGUGAGCGAAGGACAAAGACACGGCAGUACCAUUACAUAUAUAACUACUACACGUCGCCAUUACGUUAUUGUACGCUGAAAGUCCUGAGGC